CCCUUAGAUGUUCUCGGCCGCACACGCGCUGCACUGAAAGAGGCAACGUGUUUGCCUGAUUCGAAAGAAUUGGGUAACCCCCUAAUCUCUUUCGUGCUGGGGAUUGAGGUUUGCAAUUAUCCUUCAUGAACGAGGAAUUCCCAGUAAGUGCGAGUCAUUAUCUCGCGCUGACUACGUCCCUGCCCUUUGUACACACCGCCCGUCGCUACUACCGAUUGAAUGAUUUAGUGAGGACUUCGGACUGAGUCCAAUGCGGCUUUCGGGCUGCGUUGGUAUUUCGGAAAGAUGUCCAAACUGUAUCAUUUAGAGGAAGUAAAAGUCGUAACA
rnacentral:rRNA from 1 species